UAAGCCUUCUUUAUGAGACAAGUUGGAGCCUGGGUACACUAUAAAUACAUGCAAACUUUACGUAAACAUUUAGAAUUUGAUACGUUAUUCAUAGAGAAACCUCUCAAGAAAACAGAUCUUGCAGAUACACAUUUUGUUCAAGUUCAAUCCUAGAGAUAAUGAAUUUUUCAUCUAUAAUGGCAUUGGUUCACUACAACGGUCACAUCACGAAAGACCAAAACAUGUGUUCAAUAUAUUUUCCGAUGGCAAAUCGUACACGGUUGAUUUGUGUUACCGUUAUCCAGUGACAAUGAAUGAGUUCAAGAUUUGUUAUCGUUCCAUGAGAAUUGAAGAUGACAAUGAUGUACGAAGUGUGAUUGCUUAUGCAAAAAAAUACGAAGCUGAUGUGCAGUUUGAAAUCAUGGCGUUUAUUCGAGAAUAUAAUAACGACGCACCAACCAAUAUGAUUUGGGAGCUCAUGGAAAAAGAACUAAACGAUUCCUUGAAUAUAGAGUGAUCCUGUGAAUUUCAUAUACUUUUUUUUUCUUUAAUUUCUAUUGUAUUUUUUGUUCAGUUUCAAGAUAUGUUCAUCAUGUUCCUC